GGUGACUUGCAGAAUCACCUGAUUUCAGGAGCAGAGGGACAACUUGGCCCGGAAGAGCGACGGAGGAGGCGAGCUGUGCGCCGUAAGCAGGUGCGAAGCGAAGAGGAAAGCGGGCUGUCGGCAGCUCAGCUCCUCGGGCCAGGCGGCAGCUGAGCGUCUCGGCGGUCCGCGGCGUGGCAGUCAAAAGCAAGGGCGGCCGGGUGGGCGAGCGGCCCAGGCGCUUUGUGGGCCCUCUGGACCGGGAGGAGCAUUUGCGGCGUCACCAGCGCUGAGGGUUUGUGACCGCGCCAGCGGCAGGACACGCCGACCGGACCGCCCUGGAGCUCAGCAGGAGGCGCUGAAGAGGAACCCGGCGACGCGGGAAGACGGCCGUUGGCGCACGCGGCGUUUUCCUCUGCCGAAGAUGGGUUCGGUCCCUCGGCCCUCUGAAAGCUAAGUGGAGGCGCGAGGGCUGGGAAGGGGCCGGGAAUGGCAGGGCCGGGGGGUUUAGCUCUGCUAAGGGCAAGGGCCGUCCAGGAACCGCGCCCUUGGCGUGGGUCAAGGGCCCGGGGACCUUUACCGUGCGAUGCCAGCGUGUGCCGGGCAGGGCAGCUCCAGCCUGCGUCCGCGUUGUGGUGUAGUUCGGGAAGCCUGCCUUGCGCCUGUCAGCCGAUCCUGGGGUCUCGUUGCGUUCGAGGGGCACGGAAGGCCUCUCGGGUGCCACCCCGGGAUCUGGAACGCCGGUGCCGAUCGGCGUAGCGCCGAUCGGGCGCUGGUUUUCUGGUGUCGGCAGCCGAAAGCGUGGCGGGUUCUUGCCUUUGGGCCGUUUCUGGUCAGGGCUGAUUGUGGCGUUGUCCUGGGCUGUGCCGGCAGCUCUAGCCAUCCAGUCUCAGGGACUGGAACUUCAAGAUGCUGGGAAGAAGUUCUUAGGUUUUUCAUCAGCUUCUCGUUUGGUUGCGACGUCUCUGCUCGGUUGUGGCGCUGCCGCCGUCUCGUCAGGAGCCGUGACGUCGGGCUCCUUUUCCGUUUGAGGAUGCAGGAGAGGCUCCUCUCCUCCCCGUAGAUUAUUGGGAUCGAUGCCCUUCUGGUCUCGGAGCGUCGUGUUCGUCGUGGAGCGUUUUUGGCGCUGUGGCCGUCGCGUGGUCUAUAAGGUUCUGCGGAGCGUCUGUCGGCCCGGGUGCGCGUUUGGCUCGGAGCUGCUCUGCCCGGACGCGUAGAGGCAGGGGAGGGUGGACGGAGCUCUGGCGGUCCCCGGUUAACCUGCUGACGCGUUGAAUUGCGUGGGCAGAGGCGGCGCGGUCAUCUGGGAUGGAGUAGCCGUGGGCAGGGGAGCGGAGGGUCCCCGCGCAGGCGUUUGAGAGCCUCCACGAGAGCUUGGGACGUUAUUGCGCCACAGAAAGCAGACCUGUGGGCUGGUCAGGCUGUGGAUGGGCUGCUGGGUGACUUGCAGAAUCACCUGAUUUCAGGAGCAGAGGGACAACUUGGCCCGGAAGAGCGACGGAGGAGGCGAGCUGUGCGCCGUAAGCAGGUGCGAAGCGAAGAGGAAAGCGGGCUGUCGGCAGCUCAGCUCCUCGGGCCAGGCGGCAGCUGAGCGUCACGGCGGUCCGCGGCGUGGCAGUCAAAAGCAAGGGCGGCCGGGUGGGCGAGCGGCCCAGGCGCUUUGUGGGCCCUCUGGACCGGGAGGAGCAUUUGCGGCGUCACCAGCGCUGAGGGUUUGUGACCGCGCCAGCGGCAGGACACGCCGACCGGACCGCCCUGGAGCUCAGCAGGAGGCGCUGAAGAGGAACCCGGCGACGCGCGAAGACGGCCGUUGGCGCACGCGGCGUUUUCCUCUGCCGAAGAUGGGUUCGGUCCCUCGGCCCUCUGAAAGCUAAGUGGAGGCGCGAGGGCUGGGAAGGGGCCGGGAAUGGCAGGGACGGGGGGUUUAGCUCUGCUAAGGGCAAGGGCCGUCCAGGAACCGCGCCUUUGGCGCAGGUCAAGGGCCCGGGGACCUUUACCGUGCGAUGCCAGCGUGUGCCGGGCAGGGCAGCUCCAGCCUGCGUCCGCGUUGUGGUGUAGUUCGGGAAGCCUGCCUUGCGCCUGUCAGCCGAUCCUGGGGUCUCGUUGCGUUCGAGGGGCACGGAAGGCCUCUCGGGUGCCACCCCGGGAUCUGGAACGCCGGUGCCGAUCGGCGUAGCGCCGAUCGGGCGCUGGUUUUCUGGUGUCGGCAGCCGAAAGCGUGGCGGGUUCUUGCCUUUCGGCCGUUUCUGGUCAGGGCUGAUUGUGGCGUUGUCCUGGGCUGUGCCGGCAGCUCUAGCCAUCCAGUCUCAGGGACUGGAACUUCAAGAUGCUGGGAAGAAGUUCUUAGGUUUUUCAUCAGCUUCUCGUUUGGUUGCGACGUCUCUGCUCGGUUGUGGCGCUGCCGCCGUCUCGUCAGGAGCCGUGACGUCGGGCUCCUUUUCCGUUUGAGGAUGCAGGAGAGGCUCCUCUCCUCCCCGUAGAUUAUUGGGAUCGAUGCCCUUCUGGUCUCGGAGCGUCGUGUUCGUCGUGGAGCGUUUUUGGCGCUGUGGCCGUCGCGUGGUCUAUAAGGUUCUGCGGAGCGUCUGUCGGCCCGGGUGCGCGUUUGGCUCGGAGCUGCUCUGCCCGGACGCGUAGAGGCAGGGGAGGGUGGACGGAGCUCUGGCGGUCCCCGGUUAACCUGCUGACGCGUUGAAUUGCGUGGGCAGAGGCGGCGCGGUCAUCUGGGAUGGAGUAGCCGUGGGCAGGGGAGCGGAGGGUCCCCGCGCAGGCGUUUGAGAGCCUCCACGAGAGCUUGGGACGUUAUUGCGCCACAGAAAGCAGACCUGUGGGCUGGUCAGGCUGUGGAUGGGCUGCUGGGUGACUUGCAGAAUCACCUGAUUUCAGGAGCAGAGGGACAACUUGGCCCGGAAGAGCGACGGAGGAGGCGAGCUGUGCGCCGUAAGCAGGUGCGAAGCGAAGAGGAAAGCGGGCUGUCGGCAGCUCAGCUCCUCGGGCCAGGCGGUAGCUGAGCGUCUCGGCGGUCCGCGGCGUGGCAGUCAAAAGCAAGGGCGGCCGGGUGGGCGAGCGGCCCAGGCGCUUUGUGGGCCCUCUGGACCGGGAGGAGCAUUUGCGGCGUCACCAGCGCUGAGGGUUUGUGACCGCGCCAGCGGCAGGACACGCCCACCGGACCGCCCUGGAGCUCAGCAGGAGGCGCUGAAGAGGAACCCGGCGACGCGGGAAGACGGCCGUUGGCGCACGCGGCGUUUUCCUCUGCCGAAGAUGGGUUCGGUCCCUCGGCCCUCUGAAAGCUAAGUGGAGGCGCGAGGGCUGGGAAGGGGCCGGGAAUGGCAGGGCCGGGGGGUUUAGCUCUGCUAAGGGCAAGGGCCGUCCAGGAACCGCGCCCUUGGCGUGGGUCAAGGGCCCGGGGACCUUUACCGUGCGAUGCCAGCGUGUGCCGGGCAGGGCAGCUCCAGCCUGCGUCCGCGUUGUGGUGUAGUUCGGGAAGCCUGCCUUGCGCCUGUCAGCCGA